AAUGAAAUGCCUGAUUAAAGGGUUAUCUUGAUAGGAUAAAUAAUGUAUUAAAUACUUUCAUUA
rnacentral:tRNA from 1 species